rnacentral:tRNA from 1 species
GUGUACCUCAGUGGUAGAGCAUUUGCCUAGCAUGCACAAGGCCCUGGGUUCAAUCCCCAGCAC